rnacentral:rRNA from 1 species
ACUCCUACGGGAGGCAGCAGUGGGGAAUAUUGCACAAUGGGGGAAACCCUGAUGCAGCCAUGCCGCGUGUGUGAAGAAGGCCUUCGGGUUGUAAAGCACUUUCAGCGAGGAGGAAAGGGUGUGUGCUAAUACCAUACAUCUGUGACGUUACUCGCAGAAGAAGCACCGGCUAACUCCGUGCCAGCAGCCGCGGUAAUACGGAGGGUGCGAGCGUUAUCCGGAUUUAUUGGGUUUAAAGGGUCCGUAGGCGGAUUAAUAAGUCAGUGGUGAAAUCCCAUCGCUUAACGAUGGAACUGCCAUUGAUACUGUUAGUCUUGAAUGAGGGUGCAGUGGUUGGAAUGUGUAGUGUAGCGGUGAAAUGCAUAGAUAUUACACAGAACACCGAUUGCGAAGGCAGAUCACUAACCCUAAAUUGACGCUGAGGGACGAAAGCGUGGGGAGCGAACAGGAUUAGAUACCCCUGUAGGCUCUG